rnacentral:lncRNA from 1 species
ACUCUUCUCCUUCCUUUCCCACGUCUUAAAUCCCCGAGUGAUAUUUUUCUCUUUUUUUUCCAUGCUUCUUCCCCAACUUCAUCUCUUCUACACUUAAUUUAAACCUUUUCUUUUUAAUCACAUUUCCUCCCAACCUGCGUCGCACACCAAAACUCUUUUUCUCUUCAAAAUUGAAAAUUCCUGAUUGCUUAAUCCACUGAAAAAAAGAAGUGAAGCGUUUUUCAGGUCGUCUCACAGGAUCCAAGAUCCGAUAAGUUUUAGUUCGAACCCAAAUUUCAAAUCCCCUUGAUCUGUACAAGUUCUUAUAAUGGGUUUUGGUUUAUAGAUCUAAUCUCCUAAUUCUUAGUUUGUUCGAUACUCUUUUAUCAAAUUGUAAGCCUUUUGCAUUAAUAUGAAUCUGUUAUUUUUCAGUAGUUUCUGUUGAAAUUGCUAUUUUAUGUUAUUCAUUGUUACUUUUUUUUUUAUUGUGUAUAUGGAUGUACUGCUUUUAAAGUUGAUUUCAAUGGAAUUAUUGUAUAAUUGCACUUGUGGGUUUGUUUUUCCUGGGAUUUUAUUAUUUAAAUGUACGUAUCUUAGAUAAUGGCUGAAAGAAUUGCAUACAACUCCGUUUUCAAUAUUUCAUUUCCAUUAUCUUCUAAUAGAACAGGUUUCAUCUUUGUUUCUUUUGAUUGGGUGUCAAAAUAUUGUUCCUUUAUGUUCCUAAAUAUCCUGUCAUUGUUGAAACAGGGGAAGAAACAGAGUUAAAGAAUGAAAUACAAAGAACGGUGAUGAAGAUUCUUGAAGAUGAGGACUGUGUAUUUUGAGAUAAACAAUUAUGCAUAUCAAGGUAUGAAUUAGUCAAUUGAAUUCGAAUAAAAUUCAAGGAUUUAUAAGUUGACAGAUUAAUGUUCAAUUAUAAACCAUCUAAUUCAUCAGUAAAACAACAAAAACAUGUAUAAAAAUGGAACCUAGUCCCUACUCACAAUCAGUGCUACAUAACAGGAUUUCUAUGCUUCAACCAUUACUGCAAUUUCAAUCCUUUUGUAGCUACAAUGACAAUCCCAACAUAUAUAUAGCUCAACUCAAUUGAUGAACCUUUGAUCGAAAAUUGAUCAAAAGAUGCCUUCGAUUGAUUACAAUUUUGCAGUGAAGUCUUCAUCUCUUAAGAACGUACCUUCAAUUUGUAUGUAGGAUCAAAGGCAGUGUUAUGGGCGAAAUAGAAAUCAGGACAUUUAAGGAGCUAGUAAAGAUAAAUAUGACCAACAGUGGUUCGAAUGUAUAUACAAAAUUUUUUUUUUUUAAACUUCUUACUAUUAGAUAAUGUCCAUAAAUCUCAUGAUAGGUACCCAAAGAUUCAUGGUGAACUUCGAUGGGAGCUUCUCUUGAAGCAAUAAUGCAUUGCUCUAGUCGCCACCGGAGCCACAAAGGACUAUCUAAAUUGAUUCUUUUCUGCCUAUAAGCUCCAAUCGCAUCAUAGGAAUUACAAAAAAAAAAGGCUCCCUUGUAGACUUAAAUUUAUUAUCGUCAAUUCUUUCAUUUUGAUAGCUUUUUCGAUUCUAUGGAUUAUACCUAUUCACACAAAUACCUCGACGAUUCCCACUCAUUAAUACAUAGAGCCCAAUAAGCAUAUCUUGAGUCGAUACAGAAAUGGAAUCCCCAAUAGUUGGAGACAAGAGAUUCAUAUGAGAAAACAUAAGAAAACAAGCCUCCGCUUGCGCCUCUAAAGAUAAAGGUACAUGAACUGCCAUUUGAUCCCCAUCAAAGUCUGCAUUGAAUCCCUUACAAACUAAAGGAUGUAAACAAAUAGCGCGUCCUUCCACUAAAAUAAGUUGGAAUGCCUGUAUACCUAAUCUAUGCAGAGUAGGCACUCUAUUCAGCAAUACAGGAUGUCCUCGCAUAACUUCUUGCAGUAUUUCCCAUACAAUCGGCCCUUUUUCCCGAAUUUUACUCUUAGUAACUCCUAUGUUCGGAGCAAGAUGUUGUCUAAUUAGACCGCGAAUUACAAAUGUCUGGAAAAGCUCUAUUGCUAUUUCGCGAGGCAAUCCACAGCAAUGUAAUGAAAGUGAGGGGCCAACAACAAUGGUAGAACGUCCCGAAUAAUCGACUCGUUUGCCAAGCAAAGUCUCGCGAAAUCUUCCCUCUUUGCCUUCAAUUACAUCUGAAAACGACUUGUAAACCUUAUUAUGACCGUCCCUCAUUGGUUGUCCGCGGAUUCCAUUAUCAAGAAGUGUAUCCACGGCUUUUUGUACUAAUUUUUCCUGACACAUUACUAAUUCCCCUGGCGUAGAUCUACUUAUUGUUAAUAGAUCGGUAAGAGUAUUAUUUCGAUAGAUAACUCUUCUAUAGAGUUCAUUAAUAUCUAAACUCAUUAGUUUACCCCCAUCUAUCUGAAUGAUCGGUAGAAAGGUGCAUUGACUCUCGUACUUAAAUCUUGACUUUAUUUGAUUCGCUUUUUCUGUUUUUUGGAUCAUUUGUCAACCUUACAGAAAUGUUUUUGGAUUUGAUUAAUGAGUUUCUUAUUAUUAUUUUCAUCAGAUUUGAUCACUUGGUUUGAGACUUGAACUCUCUCCAGAAUUUGAUUUUUUUCCUUUGUGUUGUGUUUUCAAGGUAAGAUUCAUUUUUCAUGUCGAAUGUAAAUGUAUCAGUCAUUUGGUUUUCUCAUGGGACUCUGUUUUAGUACUCAAUUUGUUUUCCCUACACUUGUUCAACUCAAUUUGAUUCUCAUGUUUAACACAUAAAAUUUCAGAAAUUUCUACUCUUUACCUUCUCGAGAAUAGAUCAAAUUUUUUGGAGUAAAACUCAAGCCUAGAAUACUUACUUCUUCACCCACUGAUGUUGACAUUUUGGGCAUGUCGCAAGCCUGCAGAUUGUUUGUACAGCUCCAUUUCUUCAUUCUUGUGUAAGUAAGUUUUUGAUAAUGCUGGAACAAAAGCAAAAAACAAGAAGAAAAAAGGAAAAAAAGAAAAAGGGUUAUUGGGUACUUUUUAGUAUUGCUAUUUAUUGAAUUCUUUUCUUCUCAUGUUCAUAGUCUUGUUCUAAGUACAUUCUCAUUGUAAAAUCUUUAUUAUCAUUUGGUUUGAAUCGAUAGAUAAAGAGAUACUCAAAA